GGACAAGUCAGUGAAUGUCCAGCCCUCAAGGAGUGUGGGGAAGCAUCCAUAAAACACCACGGCGGUCGAGGAUGCCGAGCUCCUGAGACGACUCAGAGGAUGGGGCUGGAUGUCAGGCCCGGCUGCACACCUCUCGGGCGAUGCGGAAAGCGGUAACUGCCACAGGAGAAGCCGAAGCUGCGUCCAAAGAUGUCCUUUCAACUCCCCCAGCAGGAGCGACGUGUCAGCAAGCCAUCGGAGAAGCCAGGAUGUCCCCAGCUUUGUGCUUCCGCCAGCCAUGCUCGCACGCAGUGACUUGGCUGCAACUCUACGGAGACUCAGCCCAGCACUGACAGAGUCCCCGCAACAGAAGCCAGACCCGUCCUCCCCAGUUGCAGGAUAAUCUCUGGAAGAACACGUGCCCAUCUUGCUUACCUUCUCUUGCAGACCCGGACUCUGUUUUCCAUUAAAUGUCAAGUCCAGUGGCCCAUCUUGAUCUGGAAAGGGCAGGCUUUCACUGCCAUUAAAAACAUCUUCUUAAAAAGAUGGACAG